UACGUAGGGUGCGAGCGUUAAUCGGAAUUACUGGGCGUAAAGCGUGCGCAGGCGGUUUUGUAAGCCAGAUGUGAAAUCCCCGGGCUUAACCUGGGAAUGGCAUUUGGGACUGCAAGGCUGGAGUGCGGCAGAGGAGACUGGAAUUCCUGGUGUAGCAGUGAAAUGCGUAGAUAUCAGGAGGAACACCGAUGGCGAAGGCGGGUUGCUGGGCUGACACUGACGCGGAGGCGCGAAAGCUAGGGGAGCGAACGGG
rnacentral:rRNA from 1 species